AGUGAACGCUGGCGGCAGGCCUAACACAUGCAAGUCGAGCGGCAGCGCGUCCGACCACCCUCGGGUGGUCGGAUGGCGGCGAGCGGCGGACGGGUGAGGAAUGCAUCGGAAUCUGCCUCGUUGUGGGGGAUAACGUAGGGAAACUUACGCUAAUACCGCAUACGACCUACGGGUGAAAGUGGGGGACCUUCGGGCCUCACGCGAUGAGAUGAGCCGAUGCCGGAUUAGCUAGUUGGCGGGGUAAAGGCCCACCAAGGCGACGAUCCGUAGCUGGUCUGAGAGGAUGAUCAGCCACACUGGAACUGGGACACGGCCCAGACUCCUACGGGAGGCAGCAGUGGGGAAUAUUGGACAAUGGGCGCAAGCCUGAUCCAGCAAUGCCGCGUGUGUGAAGAAGGCCUGCGGGUUGUAAAGCACUUUCAGUGGGGAAGGAACAGAUUCGGGUCGAAUACCCCGGACGCCUCGACGUUACCUACCAGAAGAAGACACCGGCGUAACUACCGUCG
rnacentral:rRNA from 1 species